GUGAGGAAUAUUGCGCAAUGGAGGCAACUCUGACGCAGCCAUGCCGCGUGCAGGAAGAAGGCGCUACGCGCUGUAAACUGCUUUUAACCGGGAAGAAACCCCAGGACGUGUCCUGGGUUGACGGUACCGGAGGAAUAAGCACCGGCUAACUUCGUGCCAGCAGCCGCGGUAAUACGAAGGGUGCAAGCGUUAUCCGGAUUCAUUGGGUUUAAAGGGUGCGUAGGCGGAGCGUUAAGUCAGUGGUGAAAUCCUGCAGCUUAACUGUAGACUUGCCAUUGAUACUGGCGCUCUUGAGUGCGCUUGAAGUGGGCGGAAUGUGCCGUGUAGCGGUGAAAUGCUUAGAUAUGGCACAGAACACCAAUUGCGAAGGCAGCUCACUAAGGCGAUACUGACGCUGAGGCACGAAAGCGUGGGGAUCGAACAGGAUUAGAUACCCUUGUAGUCC
rnacentral:rRNA from 1 species